UGUGGAGGGGGGUCGGGUGCGUGGGGGCGCCGCUGCCAUGAGCGUGGCUCUGCGGAACGCGCAGCGCACCGUCCUCGUGCGCCGGGCCUCGCUCCGCCGCGCCGUCUGCGCCCUGCGCACCGCUCUGGGCGCCUCCCGCUUUGACGUGGGGCUGGUCUGCGCUGGCAACGCGUUGAUGCAGCGUCUGAACGCCGCCUACCGACACUGCCCGGAGCCCACCGACGUCCUCUCUUUCCCGUUCCACCAAGUGGCGGCGGGGGAGCUGCCACAGCCGCGCUGCCGCGAGGAGUACGACCUGGGGGACAUAUUCCUAGGGGUGGAGUACAUCCACCAGCAGUGCCGCAAAACCGGGGAGGAUUUUGACGAUGUCCUGACGGUGAGCCCCGCUCGGGAGUGGCGGGCGGCGGGGCAGGCACGGGAUUCAGUCGAUAUCUUUUGUAUGAUGUAAACCCCCCUGAAGGGUUCAACCUUCGCAGAGAUGUCUAUGUUCGCAUUGCUUCCCUUCUGAAGACCCUGCGGAAAAGCGAAAACUGGGUGUUGGUUAUGCCUCCCUGGGGCCGUCUUUAUCACUGGCAGAGCCCUGACAUCCUCCAGAUCCGGAUCCCUUGGUCUGAAUUCUUUGAUAUCCCAAGCCUCAACAGGAACAUUCCUGUCAUUGAAUAUGAGCAAUUCUUUGCAGAGUCAGGUGGGCCGUUUAUUGAACAGAUUUAUGUGCUCCAAGGCUACGCAGAAGGAUGGAAAGAAGGAACAUGGGAAG